rnacentral:rRNA from 1 species
AUUGAACGCUGGCGGCAGGCCUAACACAUGCAAGUCGAACGAGUGGCGGACGGGUGCGUAAUGUCUGGGAAACUGCCUGAUGGAGGGGGAAAACUACUGGAAAAGGUAGCUAAUACCGCAUACCAUCAGAUGUGCCCAGAUGGGAUUAUCUAGUUGGUGGGGUAACGGCUCACCAAGGAGACGUUCCCUAGCUGGCCUGAGAGGAUGACACGCCACACUAGAACUAAGAGCCGUUCCAGCCUCCUACGGGAGGCAGCAGUGGGGAAUAUUGCACAAUUGGCGCAAGCCUGAUGCAGCCAUGCCGCUUGUAUUAAGAAGGCCUUCGGGUUGUAAAGUACUUUCAGCGAGGAGGCGUUGCCCGCAGAGGAAGCACCGGCUAACUCCGUGCCAGCAGCCGCGGUAAUUC